rnacentral:rRNA from 1 species
AGAACGAACGCUGGCGGCGUGCUUAACACAUGCAAGUGGAGCGACGAACCAGGCUUCGGCCUGGGGCAAAGCCGCGAACGGGUGAGUAACACGUGGGUAACCUGCCCUGAUGACUGGGACAACCCGGGGAAACCCGGGCUAAUACCGGAUGUGCUGCUCUCACACCAGUGAGAGUAGGAAAGGAAGCUUCGGCCUCCGCAUCAGGAUGGGCCCGCGGCCCAUUAGCUUGUUGGUGAGGUAACGGCUCACCAAGGCUUCGAUGGGUAGCUGGUCUGAGAGGACGAUCAGCCACACUGGGACUGAGACACGGCCCAGACUCCUACGGGAGGCAGCAGUGGGGAAUAUUGCGCAAUGGGCGAAAGCCUGACGCAGCGACGCCGCGUGAGGGAUGACGGCCUUCGGGUUGUAAACCUCUUUCAGCUCCGACGAAUUCAGACGGUAGGAGCAGAAGAAGCACCGGCUACUACGUGCCAGCAGCCGC